UCCCCUGUGUGGCUCUGGGAGCAGCGUACCCUGUCAGUCUGAGUAUGCUCGUCUCCCCACUGCCCGCAGUGCCCGUCGGCACUCGCAGCCCCUGGCAGUGCUCACACAUCGGGGAGCAGCAGGAUGCCCCCGGAUGGCACUCCCAUUUCUGUGCCCCUUCUAGGUUAAAGCGAUGGAGACAUCGCUGCCGCUUCGCUCUGCCGAAUGGUAGUAAACCAGAUUGUGCAGGUGGAGGUGACGUUUGGGAAGACAUGCUGCUAUAAUGGAAGUACUUGCACUGAUGAACUGGGGAGCUGGAGCUCAUGCAAUGAACCCUGAUCCUCAUGGAUACACCAGCUUGAAGUGUUCCCUUAGAAUCAUCCCAACGACUUGAUUCAGAGGCCUUUUAAUACUGUUUCUGCUGCUGAGAAGAAUUCACCUUAAACCACUCUCACUGUUGCACAAUUAGUUAGAUUUUUUUAGUCUUUCUUUAAUUGUUGUGGAAUCUCAUGUGGCUGGGCUUAAAUAGCUGAUUUUUCUACUUUAGCCUAGGCUUUGGGCUCCCAGUACACUGUGCAGAAAUUAUAAUUGCAAAAUGUGUCCAGGCAAUCCUGGUUUGAUGGAGUUUUUCAAUAACUUCUGUUAUUUUUUUCCCAGUCCUUGUUUGUUUUCUUUAAAUUUCCAAUCCAUAAUAAAUCUUUGUAAUUCCCUUAUGGCUUUGUAUUCUAGGCAUAGAAAAAAACAGACUUUUUUAUCAUAU